rnacentral:rRNA from 1 species
CCUACGGGAGGCAGCAGUGAGGAAUAUUGGUCAAUGGGCGGGAGCCUGAACCAGCCAAGUCGCGUGAGGGAAGACGGUCCUAUGGAUUGUAAACCUCUUUAGGCGGGGAGCAAUGCCGGGCACGCGUGCCCGGAGGGAGAGUACCCGCAGAAUAAGCAUCGGCUAACUCCGUGCCAGCAGCCGCGGUAAUACGGAGGAUGCGAGCGUUAUCCGGAUUUAUUGGGUUUAAAGGGUGCGUAGGCGGAUUGUUAAGUCAGCGGUAAAAUGUCCGGGCUCAACCCGGGCCGGCCGUUGAAACUGGGGAUCUUGAGUGGGCGAGAAGUAUGCGGAAUGCGUGGUGUAGUGGUGAAAUGCUUAGAUAUCACGCAGAACCCCGAUUGCGAAGGCAGCCUGCCAAGCCAUGACUGACGCUGAUGCACGAAAGCGUGGGGAGCAAACAGGAUUAGAUACCCGUGUAGUC